GAUGAACGCUGGCGGCGUGCCUAAUACAUGCAAGUCGAGCGAACGGACGAGAAGCUUGCUUCUCUGAUGUUAGCGGCGGACGGGUGAGUAACACGUGGAUAACCUACCUAUAAGACUGGGAUAACUUCGGGAAACCGGAGCUAAUACCGGAUAAUAUUUUGAACAGCAUGGUUCAAAAGUGAAAGACGGUCUUGCUGUCACUUAUAGAUGGAUCCGCGCUGCAUUAGCUAGUUGGUAAGGUAACGGCUUACCAAGGCAACGAUGCAUAGCCGACCUGAGAGGAUGAUCGGCCACACGGGAACUGAGACACGGUCCAGACUCCUACGGGAGGCAGCAGUAGGGAAUCUUCCGCAAUGGGCGAAAGCCUGACGGAGCAACGCCGCGUGAGUGAUGAAGGUCUUCGGAUCGUAAAACUCUGUUAUUAGGGAAGAACAUAUGUGUAAGUAACUGUGCACAUCUUGACGGUACCUAAUCAGAAAGCCACGGCUAACUACGUG
rnacentral:rRNA from 1 species